GGGCCUGUAGCUCAGUGGUUAGAGCCGGCCGCUCAUAACGGUCUGGUCGUCGGUUCAAAUCCGACCGGGCCCA
rnacentral:tRNA from 1 species